rnacentral:rRNA from 1 species
UACAGAGGUCCCAAGCGUUGUUCGGAUUCAUUGGGCGUAAAGGGUGCGUAGGCGGCGCGGUAAGUCGGGUGUGAAAUCUCGGAGCUUAACUCCGAAACUGCAUUCGAUACUGCCGUGCUUGAGGACUGGAGAGGAGACUGGAAUUUACGGUGUAGCGGUGAAAUGCGUAGAUAUCGUAAGGAAGACCAGUGGCGAAGGCGGGUCUCUGGACAGUUCCUGACGCUGAGGAGCGAAAGCGUGGGGAGCGAACAGG